UAUAACGGUCCUAAGGUAGCGAAAUUCCUUGUCGGGUAAGUUCCGACCUGCACGAAUGGCGUAAUGAUGGCCAGGCUGUCUCCACCCGAGACUCAGUGAAAUUGAACUCGCUGUGAAGAUGCAGUGUACCCGCGGCAAGACGGAAAGACCCCGUGAACCUUUACUAUAGCUUGACACUGAACAUUGAGCCUUGAUGUGUAGGAUAGGUGGGAGGCUUUGAAGUGUGGACGCCAGUCUGCAUGGAGCCGACCUUGAAAUACCACCCUUUAAUGUUUGAUGUUCUAACGUGGACCCGUAAUCCGGGUUGCGGACAGUGUCUGGUGGGUAGUUUGACUGGGGCGGUCUCCUCCUAAAGAGUAACGGAGGAGCACGAAGGUUGGCUAAUCCUGGUCGGACAUCAGGAGGUUAGUGCAAUGGCAUAAGCCAGCUUGACUGCGAGCGUGACGGCGCGAGCAGGUGCGAAAGCAGGUCAUAGUGAUCCGGUGGUUCUGAAUGGAAGGGCCAUCGCUCAACGGAUAAAAGGUACUCCGGGGAUAACAGGCUGAUACCGCCCAAGAGUUCAUAUCGACGGCGGUGUUUGGCACCUCGAUGUCGGCUCAUCACAUCCUGGGGCUGAAGUAGGUCCCAAGGGUAUGGCUGUUCGCCAUUUAAAGUGGUACGCGAGCUGGGUUUAGAACGUCGUGAGACAGUUCGGUCCCUA
rnacentral:rRNA from 1 species